rnacentral:lncRNA from 1 species
UUUUGGUGAAAUAGAAGAUUUGGAGGAAGACUUCUAGAGAGAGAAAGUCUAGAGAGAGAAAGUGGUUGUAAACGUGAAUCUUGUAUCGGAUUUGUCACAUCUUUCAAUAGAUUCUCGUUACUAGUACGUUAUUGUGUGUUCGGUCACGUACGUUCACGGAUUCCGCACGUGAAACGUACGUUACGCAAUCGAACGGCGUCAAAACCGGUCCUACAAUUGGUAUCAGAGCUAGGAGCUCGAUUACACGAUCAAACACAUCGUUUUCGUACUAGAUUUCAGCGAUUUCAGAGCCGAUUCAGAUCCGAUUUCAUCGAUUUCUUCAUUUUCUACCUAUUUCUGACGGUUCUUACGGAAAUUCGUCAAAUUGAACGUGAUUUCACGGUCCGAUUUGUCUGAAUUUUUGAUAUAUUGUGCGAAAUUCGUUGAUUAACAACCCUACCAAGUUUUAGAUCGAAACUCCAAGUCGUUUAGGAGAAAUCGCAGUUUUUCGGUUCGAAUUCGCGUCAAAUUUCAGCACAGGUUCGCUCAAAACAACAGGUCCGCUCGUGUGGAGUAUCAUAGGUCCGCUUAUUUGGUUUAACAGGUUCGCUUUUUUAGUCAUUCAGGUCCUGCUCUAAGUGGUUUAACAGAUUCGCUCAUUAGGGAUCAUUAGUGGUCCGCUCCAAGUGAAAUGGUUCGCUUAUUUGUCAUCUUCUUCACGUGAUUGACAGGUUAUCGGCAGGUUGUUGAAAUAGUUAGCAGGUUAAUUGCAGGCCCAUGUUACACCGCCCCACUAUUUUUUUGGCCCAAUCACUGAAGCCCUUACAUUUUAUCAGUUGUUCAUAAUUGUCAGCCACCUUGAAUCAUAACCAAUCAAUGUUGCCGCCCAAUUAACUGAUGUUCAGAAUAUGCAUGUUAAGGCCCAAUCUUUGAAUAAGCAUCCUUGCACCGCCCCCAUUAAAAAAUCGACCCAAUCACAGCUUUAGUAGUAAUUGAAGUUGAUUUUUUUUUGGAGUUGAUUGCACCGACCCACUUACAUAUAUACGGUCCUAUCAUAUUUUCACAAACAAGUUCAAAGGCCCAUGUGAUAAAGUAAUUGUCGGUUAGUUUGAAAGUUAAAGUCAGAUUACAUGUUAUCUCGGCCCAAUCAGCUUGCAUGUUAUCUCGGCCCAAUCAGCUUGCAUGUUAAAGUCAGAUUACAUGUUUGUUUCAAUUGAAGUGUCGGUUUAUUGGGGGUAUUUGAUUUGCCGCCCACUAGUUGAAGGCUCAAUCACAGUAAAGUGCAAGAGUUUUAGAUUGAAUCGAAGAUUCAGAUUUGUGUAGCACUAGUAGACUGAAUCGAAGAUUCAGAUUUGUUUCGAAUCUAAGUUUUGUUCAUUUUGAUCAGUUUCUGUGAAAACGAAUCAGAUUUCGGUAAAUUUUGCUUUGAUUUGUUUGAAUUUCGGAUUGAAUCGAUUGACUUUCAGUUUGAUUAUAUGUACAUCGGAACAGUUACAUCAGCUUUCAAACUUUUAAUAUCGGUUCCGGAAUAUUUCAAUCAGUUUUGGUGAAAUCGGAUCAGUUUCGGACUGUUUUCGAUUUAUUUCAGCGAAGUGUUGGACUGAUUUGAUUGAGUUUAGAUCGAUUUCAGUUGAUUUACGAUAAGUUUUGGUAAAAAUCGCUGAUGUUUUGAAAGCUAUCGAACUGUUUUCCAUCAAGUUUCGGAUUAAAUAGGUGUAAAUUCGAUAAUAGUUGUGAUUGUUUGUUCAAACUGAAUUCCGAAUCUGUUUUUGUUUGAACUGAUCAUUGUUGAAUCGUUUCAAGUGAACUGAGAUCUGUUUACUUGCUUGAAAUCAAAACAUUUGCAGAACUGAUUGGCUGAACCGUUCAUUCGUUGAACGGCAUUUCAUCUGUAAAUAUAACAUCAGUGGUUUGCUGAUACAUUCAUCCGUUUGAGGUUUAUCCGCUAGUAUAAUUUGCUGAUUCAGCCGCUAAAAAUCAGCAUAUCCGCGCAAGUUUGAAACUAGUAUUCGUCCGUAGAACUGAUUCGCUGAAAACAUUAUCCAUUUGCUGUUACAGUAUCCAUUCGCUGAAGUCGAUUUGUUUGCUAAAAGUCAGUUUAUUCGCUGCAUUGCGCAUACGUGGUAAUCAGAUUCAUUCGCUGCAGAACUGAUUCGCGCAAAUCUGUUCGAAAGAGUUAGUCAAACCGCAGAUCUGUUCGCUAUUUUCAGCAACAGAAUUCCAUCCGCAAACAGGAUCCAUUCGCUCGGGUUCAUAUUUCGUCCAUUCGCACGAACUCACUAACUCACCGAUCCGCACAAGUUGCUUUUCGUCAUUCCCAGAAAUUAGCUCCAUCCACACGGUUCUAGAAGUCCACGCAUACGCACAAAUCUAAAAGUUUGUGUUCAUUAUCAUUCCGCACAAGUUAAUCAUUUUGCAUUCAUGCGAAAUCACAUCAACCCUCGUUCACAAAAAUUCAACAUUAUUUCACAGUCGCACAUUUUAUGAAUUUUCAAGUGAUUCAAGAUAUUCAAGGUGAACCGAGAUUCGAGUUUGGGUCGAGGAUAGUGUUUUGGAAUUUGGGCUUCUAGUGUAAACGGAUUGUUUGAUUAGUGGGCCACUAGCAUGUGAAUUUCUUGAUUACAAACGUGUUAGUGGGCUUUGUGGAAAUUGAGAUUUUGUGAACUUUGAGAUAAAAACAAAUUUUGACCUAAGUCAUUUGAAAAUCAUCAUCAGUUCGCACACUCGCUCGAGCGAAUUUCCACUCGAUCCACUGUCGCUUGAUCCUUGCUAUUCAAUCGAAUAGUCAUCUGUCUGUGUGAACUUUCAUAUCGUUUGAAAAACUCGCCAUUAAGAAUCUUUUGAUACCAAAACAUGGAUUCUGAAAUUUAUACUACACUGAACAAGUUUGAAAAUUUUACAGGUAUCAAUGGAGAAUCAAUUGAAGAGUUGAUCAAAAGGUAUAUCGAGUUGUAUUGGGAGAUGGUGAGAUUGAAGAUAACCAAGACUAAUGAGGAAUGGGUUGACAAGUUGACAAAUGUUUUACCGGGUGAUAUGUGGAGAACGUAUUUGUUAGAUUUGAGAAAGAUAUAUUUAGAUGUGAAUUUGAGCUUGUUCAUCGAGAAGAUUAAAGAGCGAGAACUUGAAUUACAAAAGAUUAGUAAUGCAGAAACAGCUGAUGAAGCAAAAUUCAAAUCUGAGGAAACUGUUCCAGAAGUAGAGGAACAGGUUAAAGAAAUUUCAGCUAUCAAGGUGGAAAAGAAAGCUGAAGCUGUAAAUAUGACCGAGAAGUGCUCAAAAUGUGAAAAUCUAAAAUCCGAAAAUGCCAAACUCUUGAGGGAUUUAGAGAGUUUGACAUUAGAAAACGAAAAUCUAAAAUCCGAAAAUGCCAAACUCUUGAGGGAAUUAGAGAGUUUGACAUUAGAAAACGAAAAUCUUAAAAAAUCAGAAAAUGUUUUGAAAAAUCAAAAACA